rnacentral:rRNA from 1 species
UCCCGAGCGUUGUCCGGAUUUAUUGGGCGUAAAGGGUGCGCAGGCGGUUGGUUAAGUUUAUGGUGAAAGCGUGGGGCUCAAUCCCAUAUAGCCAUAGAUACUGGCCAACUAGAGUGCAGAAGAGGGUAGUGGAAUUCCAUGUGUAGCGGUAAAAUGCAUAGAUAUAUGGAGGAACACCAGUGGCGAAGGCGGCUACCUGGUCUGUAACUGACGCUCAAGCACGAAAGCGUGGGGAGCAAAU